AUGAUCCUAGUUUCUCUGAAGAUGACAGGAGUCCUGCAAUUGACUUCAGUGGGAUUGGGCCCUAAGUCACUAAAUAACAUUUUCCAUGGUGGAUUUAGGAAGAGAAUCAAACAAUUAUCUGAGGUAUGUUCAAGGAUGACAAGCUCUGAAAUCAGGACACAUCCAGAGCUUCAGGCUGAAUGAAACACAGUAGGAUGGAUUAAGAAAUAUCAAAUGCUGUAAGAGAAAGGAUAAAAGGAGCACCAGAUGUGACUGGGACUGCAUUAGCAGAAAAGAGCUGUGCAGAGUAUUGUGGUUUUCAUUUGUUAGGGUUGUUGGAAACAUUUCUAUAAGUGUCUUUCAGCAGACAGCAGUGCAGCUUGAAGCUUGGGGUUCAAGGAAAUUGAAAAAUACAAUCAAGUCUCUCUCUGAUUUAGGAACAGAGCUGUGCUGUGAUGUGUACAACGGUGCACCCUGGCUAUUAUCCAAUUUGGUUUCAUUAAUUCCAAUAGUCCUUCCAUAUGCAAAUUUAUAACAUCACAAAAUAUCAAUCACAUAUUGAAUAGUGCCAUCAUAUCCAGUUGCAAACUUUGCACACAGUCUGGAGGCAGAAUUUUUGUUUUGAUCAUAUACAAUACUAUGCUAAAUCGUGUGGUAUUUGUCCCAUUCCCAGCACAGUCAUUUGGCUUUUCCCAAAGCCCAAGACAGGGGAUUCAUCUUUCUGAGAUUCUGGCCAAUCUCCUCCCUGUCUUGUUCCUACUUUGAAUAAAAUGAAUUCACAGUAUGACA
rnacentral:lncRNA from 1 species